rnacentral:tRNA from 1 species
AUUUAAGUAGCUUAAAUUAAAGCACACCCCUGAAGAGGGUAGGAUGGGACCCCCUUAAAUA